UACGGAGGGUGCAAGCGUUGCUCGGAAUUAUUGGGCGUAAAGGGUAGGUAGGUGGUCUCAUUUGUCUGGGGUGAAAGCCUUGAGCUUAACUCAAGAAGUGCCCCAGAAACGGUGAGACUGGAGUCCUGGAGAGGGUCGUGGAAUUCCCGGUGUAGCGGUGAAAUGCGUAGAGAUCGGGAGGAACACCAGAGGCGAAGGCGGCUCACUGGUCCGGUACUGACGCUGAGGUGCGAAAGCGUGGGGAGCAAACAGG
rnacentral:rRNA from 1 species